rnacentral:sRNA from 1 species
AACUUUAGACCAUGCCAGAUGGUAACGCUGGAGGUGUAGCAAGCUAGGUUUCUCUGCCACAAGUGCUCUAAUUUAAUUAAAACUAAAAACAGAUUAGCAGAAAAUCUGUCAGUAUGCCUUCCUUUUGUGUGUGUAUAUAUGUAUAUGUGAGACAAAUCUAAUAAUUUCUUGGGUUAUUUUUAUUCAGGGCAUAUUUAUUUAGCACUUAAAAGUGACUUGCAUUUUUUUAAUACCUCAAAUUUUGUCUUAUUGGUAUCCUCCACCAAUGCAAGGACUUGAUGGAAAUUGAAAGAGGUUACUUACAGCAUAAACCCUCCCUCUGUGCUCUGUGAGUUGGUUCAGUCCUAUUUUGCAUAAGUUCCUUUUGAGUAGAUCCAUGUGUGAAUGCAUAGUACUGAAGACUUACUCCCUUUGCCUGUGUGGAUAUAUGUCUUGGAGAGAGACUGUGUGCAUUAGCUACAAAUAGUAACAUUUUCAAAAUCAACAUGUAUUGUGCUUAUCCUGUCCCUGGAAUGGGCAGCAAUUCUUUGAUGUAUUACUACAAUGGGAAAACGGUAUAUGCACCAUCCCCAAAUUCAGAUGAUUUCAACCGUGAAUCUCCUAGUUAUCCAUCUCCUAAGCCACCAACCAGUAUGUUCGCUAGCACUUUCUUUAUGCAAGAGUUAUCCUCCACACUCAGUUUCACCAACAGACAUAAACACGAGUCUUCCACCAAUGUCCAGCUUUCAUCGUGGCAGUACCAGCAGUUCACCUUACGUUGCUGCCUCACACACUCCUCCCAUCAAUGGAUCAGACAGCAUUCUAGGAACCAGAGGGAAUGCUGCUGGAAGCUCACAGACAGGUGAUGCACUUGGAAAGGCUUUGGCAUCUAUUUAUUCUCCUGACCAUACCAGCAGUAGUUUUCCGUCAAAUCCAUCAACACCAGUUGGAUCACCUUCACCUCUCACAGGUACCAGUCAGUGGCCAAGACCUGGAGGGCAAGCACCUUCAUCCCCAAGCUAUGAAAACUCACUCCACUCCCUGCAGUCUCGAAUGGAGGAUCGUUUAGACAGACUGGAUGAUGCAAUCCAUGUGCUGCGGAACCAUGCUGUGGGACCUUCCACCAGUUUGCCUGCUGGUCACAGUGAUAUACAUAGUUUAUUGGGACCAUCCCAUAAUGCACCAAUUGGAAGCCUCAAUUCAAACUAUGGAGGAUCAAGCCUUGUUGCAAGCAGUCGAUCAGCUUCAAUG